AGUGAACGCUGGCGGUAGGCCUAACACAUGCAAGUCGAACGGCAGCACAGUAAGAGCUUGCUUCUACGGGUGGCGAGUGGCGGACGGGUGAGGAAUACAUCGGAAUCUACUUUUUCGUGGGGGAUAACGUAGGGAAACUUACGCUAAUACCGCAUAUGUUCUACGGGUGAAAUCAGGGGAUCUUCGCACCCUUCGUGACUCUUUGAGCUGAUGUCGCAUUAGCUAGUUGGCAGGGUAAAGGCACACCAAGGCAACGAUCCGUAGCCGAUCUGAGAGGAUGAUCGGCCACACUGGAACUGAGACACGGUCCAGACUCCUACGGGAGGCAGCAGUAGGGAAUCUUCCACAAUGGGCGAAAGCCUGAUCCAGCAAUACCGCGUGAGUGAUGAAGGCCUUCGGAUUGUAAAACACUUUUAUUAGGGAAGAAAAGCAGUAGGAUAAUCCGCGACCAUUCUGACGGUACCCAAGCAAAAAGCAACGGCUAACUACGUG
rnacentral:rRNA from 1 species